rnacentral:tRNA from 1 species
GCUGAUGUGGCUCAGGGGUAGAGCACUUCCUUGGUAAGGAAGGGGUCGGCGGUUCGAUUCCGCUCAUCAGCUCCA